UACGGAGGGGGCUAGCGUUGUUCGGAAUCACUGGGCUUAAAGGGCGCGUAGGCGGGCGAUCAAGUCAGGGGUGAAAUCCUCCGGCUCAACCGGAGAACUGCCUUUGAUACUGGUCAUCUCGAGUGAGGUAGGGGCAUGCGGAACUGAUGGUGGAGCGGUGAAAUGUGUUGAUAUCAUCAGGAACGCCGGUGGCGAAAGCGGCGUGCUGGACCUUUACUGACGCUGAUGCGCGAAAGCCAGGGGAGCGAACGGG
rnacentral:rRNA from 1 species